rnacentral:tmRNA from 1 species
GGGGGCGACUGGUUUCGACGGGGAUAAGAAGGCAAAAGACGCAUGCCGAGGUCCAUUGGGCUCGUUAAACAAAUGGAAAAAACAUAGUUGCUAACGAAGAGUUAGCCCUCGCUGCCUAACGGCAGCGACGUCGACCAUUCUACGCCUACGGGGAUGGAAGAUGUCAGAUAGUGGGCUCGCCUGGCCUUCACGCUUUUGGGGGGAUUAGGUUAAAUGAGGAAGCUGGCUUUUGGUUAAACCUGUCUUUGGGUGUAAUCGAAGGUAAGAUUUAAAACAAAGACUUUGCAUGGAGUGGCUUUUGUUGGAUUAUUUUCGGACGCGGGUUCAAUUCCCGCCGCCUCCACCA